GUGCUCACUUGGGCAGCACGUAGACUAAAAUUGGAAUGAUACAGAGACGGUGAGCAUGGCCCCUGCCGCAAGGAUGACAUGCAAAUCUGUGAAGUAUUCUAUGUUUAA